UUGACCUUUAAAUUAGUCCAGAGAGACUGAGAAGGUUGCAAUAGUUAGGAUGCGUACAUCUAUAGGUGACGUUUACCUCUUUGCGAGCUUCUCGCAAAGAGGUUUUUUUU
rfam:Pontibacillus yanchengensis Y32 contig74, whole genome shotgun sequence.